CGAAGCUAUGAGAAAAUCGUUUGUUUCAGUUAGUGUAAACUAUUUAAACGUAAGACAGCUAAAAAAUUUGUUUGGUCGUCAAGUGUUUUCAAUUGAAGUUGUACAUUCCCAUACCUAAACUACAUAACAGAAAUUACUCUUUAGAUAUCGACCUAAAAAAUUAUAACGAUAAGUUGCUAAUAAAAUGGUGGGUCGUUGCUGUUCGAUUGUGUUGUGCUUGUUGCUGCCACCGUUAGCGGUUUGCAUCGAUAGAGGAUGUGGUUGUAGCACUUUUAUCAACAUAUUACUAUGCAUUUUUGGACUUUGGCUAGGUGGCAUUAUACACGCAUUUUGUGUCACAAAUGCUUGUGGAAGAAACGAUUCAAGGGAUCGAAAUCCAGCAUAAAUGUCAAAAGAAAUCAUAAAAUUAAUGAAUAAAGUUGUGAAACAUAACAUU